rnacentral:rRNA from 1 species
CGGGGCUUGAAGUCUUGUAAUUGGAAUGAUGGGAAUUUAAACCUCUUCCAGAGUAUCAAUUGGAGGGCAAGUCUGGUGCCAGCAGCCGCGGUAAUUCCAGCUCCAAUAGCGUAUAUUAAAAUUGUUGCAGUUAAAAAGCUCGUAGUUGAAUUUCUGCUGCAUUGCUUGUGUCCCUCUGGGGUCUGUGCAUGUGGCUUUUUUCGGACGGAGUUUCUUUGUCUGAAUGUUUACUUUGAGAAAAUUAGAGUGCUCAAAGCAGGCUUUCGCCUUGAAUAGUUUAGCAUGGAAUAAUAAAGUAGGACUUUGGUUCUAUUUUGUUGGUUUUAGGUACCAAAGUAAUGGUUAAUAGGAACAGUUGGGGGCAUUCGUAUUUAACUGUCAGAGGUGAAAUUCUUAGAUUUGUUAAAGACGAACUACUGCGAAAGCAUUUGCCAAGGAUGUUUUCAUUAAUCAAGAAC